rnacentral:rRNA from 1 species
GAGUUUGAUCCUGGCUCAGAACGAACGCUGGCGGCAUGCCUAACACAUGCAAGUCGAAUGAAGGUCCCGCUUCGGCGGGGCCUUAGUGGCGCACGGGUGAGUAACGCGUGGGAACCUGCCCUGUGGUGCGGAACAACCCCGGGAAACUGGGGCUAAUACCGCAUGCGGCCUGCGGGCCAAAGACUGCGUCGCCACGGGAUGGGCCCGCGUAGGAUUAGGUAGUUGGCGGGGUAACGGCCCACCAAGCCCGCGAUCCUUAGCUGGUCUGAGAGGAUGGCCAGCCGCACUGGGACUGAGACACGGCCCAGACUCCUACGGGAGGCAGCAGUGGGGAAUAUUGGACAAUGGGCGCAAGCCUGAUCCAGCAAUGCCGCGUGGGUGAUGAAGGCCCUCGGGUUGUAAAGCCCUUUCGCACGCGACGAUGAUGACGGUAGCGUGACAAGAAGCCCCGGCUAACUUCGUGCCAGCAACCGCGGUAAUACGAAGGGGGCGAGCGUUGUUCGGAAUUACUGGGCGUAAAGGGCGCGUAGGCGGUGGUCCAAGUCAGGCGUGAAAGCCCCGGGCUCAACCUGGGAACGGCGCUUGGACUGGGCCGCUCGAGUUCGGGAGAGGACGGCGGAAUUCCCAGUGUAGAGGUGAAAUUCGGUAGAUAUUGGGAAGAACACCGACGGCGCAAGCAGCCGUCUGGACCGACACUGACGCUGAGGCGCGAAAGCGUUGGGGAGCGAACAAGAUUAGAUACCCUGGUAGUCCACGCCGUAAACGAUGAGUUGCUGGGCGUCGGGGCCCUUGGGGCUUCGUGCCGCAACUAACGCGUUAAGCACUCCGCCUGGGGAGGUACGGCCGCAAGGUAAAACUCAAGAAUUGACGGGGGCCCGCACAAGCGGUGGGAACAUGUGGUUAAAUUCGAUGCAACUCAAAGAACCCUUACAUGGCCUGGACUAUGCGGGAAAAGCCCGUAGAGAUACGGGUGUCUUUCGGGGUCCGCGAUAGUGGUGCAUGGCUGUCGUCAGCUUCGUGUUCGGUGAGAUGUUGUUUAAGUCCCGCCACGAGCGCAACCCCUUAUCCCAUUGUUGCCAGCGGGUCAUGCCCGGGGACUCGUGGGAGGACUGCCGGUGCCAAACCCGGAGGAAGGUGGGGACGACGUCAAGUCAUCAUGCCCCUUACGUCCAGGGCUGCACACGUGCUACAAUGGCCAGUACAAAGGGUUGCUACUCCGCGAGGAGACGCCAAUCCCAAAAAACUGGUCUCAGUUCGGAUCGCAGUCUGCAACUCGACUGCGUGAAGUCGGAGUCGCUAGUAAUCGCAGAUCAGCAUUGCUGCGGUGAAUACGUUCCCGGGCCUUGUACACACCGCCCGUCACACCACGAAAGUUGGUAACACCCGAAGCCGGUGGCCCAACCCUUGGGAGGGAGCCGUCGAAGGUGGGAUCAGCGAUUGGGGUGAAGUCGUAACAAGGUAGCCGUACCGGAAGGUGCGGCUGGAUCACCUCCUU